AUACGGAGGGUGCAAGCGUUGUUCGGAAUUACUGGGCGUAAAGCGCGUGCAGGCGGUAAGGUAAGUCAGAUGUGAAAGCCCCGGGCUCAACCCGGGAAGUGCAUUUGAUACUGCCUUUCUUGAGUAUGGGAGAGGAGAGUGGAAUUCCCAGUGUAGAGGUGAAAUUCGUAGAUAUUGGGAGGAACACCCGUGGCGAAGGCGACUCUCUGGACCAAUACUGACGUUGAGACGCGAAAGCGUGGGGAGCGAACAGGAUUAGAAACCCCGGUAGUCC
rnacentral:rRNA from 1 species